rnacentral:rRNA from 1 species
UACGAAGGGGGCUAGCGUUGCUCGGAAUCACUGGGCGUAAAGGGUGCGUAGGCGGGUCUUUAAGUCAGGGGGGAAAUCCUGGAGCUCAACUCCAGAACUGCCUUUGAUACUGAAGAUCUUGAGUUCGGGAGAGGUGAGUGGAACUGCGAGUGUAGAGGUGAAAUUCGUAGAUAUUCGCAAGAACACCAGUGGCGAAGGCGGCUCACUGGCCCGAUACUGGCGCUGAGGCACGAAAGCGUGGGGAGCAAACAGG